rnacentral:rRNA from 1 species
GACGAACGCUGGCGGCGUGCUUAACACAUGCAAGUCGAACGGAAAGGCCCUGCUUUUGUGGGGUGCUCGAGUGGCGAACGGGUGAGUAACACGUGAGUAACCUGCCCUUGACUUUGGGAUAACUUCAGGAAACUGGGGCUAAUACCGGAUAGGAGCUCCUGCUGCAUGGUGGGGGUUGGAAAGUUUCGGCGGUUGGGGAUGGACUCGCGGCUUAUCAGCUUGUUGGUGGGGUAGUGGCUUACCAAGGCUUUGACGGGUAGCCGGCCUGAGAGGGUGACCGGCCACAUUGGGACUGAGAUACGGCCCAGACUCCUACGGGAGGGAGCAGUGGGGAAUAUUGCACAAUGGGCGGAAGCCUGAUGCAGCAACGCCGCGUGCGGGAUGACGGCAUUCGGGUGGUAAACCGCUUUCGCCUGUGACGAAGCGUGAGUGACGGUAAUGGGGAAAGAAGCACCGGCUAACUACGU